CGGACGGGUGAGUAAUGUCUGGGAAACUGCCUGAUGGAGGGGGAUAACUACUGGAAACGGUAGCUAAUACCGCAUAACGUCGCAAGACCAAAGAGGGGGACCUCAGGGCCUCUUGCCAUCGGAUGUGCCCAGAUGGGAUUAGCUAGUAGGUGGGGUAAAGGCUCACCUAGGCGACGAUCCCUAGCUGGUCUGAGAGGAUGACCAGCCACACUGGAACUGAGACACGGUCCAG
rnacentral:rRNA from 1 species